GGUCACUAGGAAGCUAGUUUUCAGAUAUUUCAUUUAGGCCUAUCUUAUGCUUUUAGAAUUCAUCUGCCUGGGUCACUGUGGAUGUGGGAGCAGAACAGACUUAUCUUCACAGAAACAAGAGCCUUGUGAGUGGCCACUGUGACAGCAGAUACAUCUGCCUGUUUCAGGAGCAGCACCAAGAAUAUAUACUUAGUCUCCUCUGGUCAAGUAUUUGAGUUAAGAAGACACCUGUGGGAGCUUGCCAAGUGGCAGACCAGUGAGAACGACUUGAGCCACCUCAAACGCCAUCAAGCACAUCACAGGGAACAGGAGUUCUUUCCUGUGUUUGCUGCAUAAAUGAAGAAGUAACUAAUCAGUAUGCACCAGAAGCCAUAUUGAAGAAAUCCAUGGCCCUGCUUUCACCAGGGUGAGCCUACACAUGUGCUGGCAGCCUCCAUGCUGCCACACACCUGACCCAGCUGUGGACAGACUGGUCCACUUACAUGACCUAUGUGAGUAUGACCCAGAAGGAGGCUGAGUUCAGCUUUACCAGGUCUUCAACUUCAAGCACCAUGAAACUGCAAAUUCUGUUUUUCAGCUCUUAAUUCACUGCCAUUUUGUAUAUAUAUUUUGUGAAAUUGGUGUAUGCUAACAACAACUUUCAAGAUAAACAAAUCAUUGUUUCUUUUGGUGACCAUCCAGACUCCAAUCAUCCCACUAUGUCCACCAUUGUUACAGCUUGGCUGACCUCACCGUGACCUUAAAGAAUCAAAUAUUCCUUGAGAGGCUUCUUGCUCCUGUGCCAUGACCAAGAAGCAUGGCUUUUAUCCCCAGAAAGUUUCCACGAUGUUCCAACCACUGCUGAAGGGUUCCACUCAUUUAAGUCAGUUCAUGAGCAGCAUAUAGACAGGACAACUUCUUAUAUAGUUUCUUUCUUUGCUAUUCUCUGUCAUUCCUAAAAACCAGUUUCUACUGUUUUAAAUGACAAUGAGUAAUAUAAGAUUAUAUACUAACAUUAAAAUUUUUAUAUAAUCCAUAGA
ensembl:lincRNA